rnacentral:tRNA from 1 species
AUACUUAUGACUGAUAAAAGUAAUAAAUUGAAAAUUUAUAUAUAU